rnacentral:rRNA from 1 species
UACGUAGGGUGCGAGCGUUAAUCGGAAUUACUGGGCGUAAAGCGUGCGCAGGCGGUUGGCCGUGUCCGAUGUGAAAGCCCCGGGCUUAACCUGGGAAUGGCAUUGGAAACUGGCUGGCUGGAGUGUGGCAGAGGGGGGUGGAAUUCCACGUGUAGCAGUGAAAUGCGUAGAGAUGUGGAGGAACACCGAUGGCGAAGGCGGCCCCCUGGGCCAACACUGACGCUCAGGCACGAAAGCGUGGGGAGCAAACAGG